AAUCUAGAUGUUGUUCCAGCAUGCUUCCAGCAGAGGGCGCAGUCAGCUGCAUAGUCACUUCCUCCUCAUGGAUGGAGACGAGAUGGAGCUUCAGGAAGCGACAGCAGAAAGGAUGAAAGAUGCAGUGGAAAUAAGGUCGAGAUACGGCGACCAGGGAACGUCGGGAAUGUGGGUGUGAGAGGACAGAAGGUCUAGUUGUGAAAUGCCAUCCAGUCAUAACAGAUAAAGAGACAGGAUGGAGGGGAGGACUGUGUGAGUGGGAUGAGGUGAUGUUGCAGUCAAUGGUCGAGCAGAGAGAGGAAAACUGGAAGAUGACUGGUCUUUAAACCAAUCUUACGUUCAUCCUCCAUCUCCACCAUCCUGCUUCCUUCAAGGUCAUUGACAAGGACAGUCUAAAACACCUUCUCCUGUCUGUGAUUGGCCGUCACAGUGGAACAGGUUCUUAAAGCAACAGCUGCAUAGUAAAUUUUGGCAGCCAUGUUUACCAGAGUAAAGUACCAGCUGGAGGAGGCAUGGCUGUUUGACAACUUCUUUUCGUCUCAUGGAUUUUUCCCAAACUACUUCCUAAAAUAUUUAUCACACACUUUAAAAAUAGUGGUCAGAGUAGCCAGCAGGUCCAUGAUUUCUGGUCUGUUCACGCGUCCAAAUAAAGAGCAAGGUCGGACUCACUUCCUGCCCCUCAGUUAUUGAUCAGCAGUUAUGAGCUGCUGUAAACUGCACUUGCAGUAACUAACACAACACACAAUCUGUGUUGUUGUUUUUCACCAAGUAAAAUUUUGAAUUUGUAUAUACAAAUUUAUUCUUUGUAAAAAUGGCACUUUAGUUUUUUUAAAAUGGAAAAUAGCAGAGAAGAAAUUAAAAGGACCGAGACUCCAGACUCUACACAGGUUUAUUAUUGUGAAUAGAAAACAGACUUGAAUAAAUUAAUUUAAGUCCUCAUCUUGGCAUUAUAGGUGAGCAAAUUGCUGAAUGAGCGUCAAAUUAAGAGUUCAUGUCUUGUGAACAGUAGACGUACUGCAGGAGGAAUAUGGCAGACAUUUUGCUUUAAAAUUGCUCCAGAACUCAGAUUGUUUCUCCUCCCCAAAACAUAAAACAGAACCUUUACUCUGGUGAUCCCAGCCUCUCUCUACCUUCAAGUGUUUCCAUUAAAAGAUGUGAUCUCUGACUGGAGCAGAAAGUGCACGGAGUGUGUGGGAGGCAGAACCAUCCAGACACACAGAUUUCCACAAACCGACACACAAAUAGAAACUUCUUUAAGGUGGAGUGAAUUAUUUAUUGUGCAUCGAAAAGCUGUGCACCACCAGAAACGACGAGGAAAAAGCAAAUGUUACAGAAUAUGAAAAACAUUAAACAUUAGAGCUUCUUAAUAUCCUUUUCUAGAUUUUUUUAUCAGCAUGUUAUUAUUUAGCAUGUUUUCAUGCCAUCCUGCAUGUCUUCAAGUUCUUAAAUAUGCCAUCCAAUCAGGUUUCUUAGAUAAAUCAAUCCAACUGUUUCCUGACAAAAUGUGGACAACAAAUUACAUUCAAAACCAUCCAGAGACAUUUUGACAUAAAUUGCAGUUUAAAUGCUUAAAACGAGAGAAGUCUCUCUGGUAUAACUCAGGUUUUCUGAGAAUUCACUCCAUAAAAACAUCAAUGUUCAAAAAAUAAUAAAAUACUGGAAUGUGUUUGUGGUAUUAAACCCACCUGUCACAAAA